CUUUUUGAAAGAUCCCCAAAGGGGAGACCCUUACUCAAGUCUCGGGAAGUCGCGGACCCCAGACACAGAGAGACCA
rnacentral:pre_miRNA from 14 species